CACUGUGCUCCAGCCUAGGUGACAGAGCAAGAUCCUGCCUCAAAAUCAACAACAACAACAAAAAAAAACUGAACAUCUCCAUAUUACUGACACCCAAUUCAAGAAACAAAAUAUUACAGCCCCUUCCAGGAUAUUCCUGGGGUCUCUUCCAUCUCUACUAACCCCUGACUACAAACAGCCUCCACCUAUUUCACCUGACAUUGUACUUUAUGAAAGCAGCAGUUCUCAGAUGGGGCUAUUUUGCCCCCUGGGGACAUUAGGGAAUAUCUGGAGACACUGAGGGUUGUGUCUACUUGGGGGGAGUUGUGUUACUGCAUCCAGUGAGUCCAGGGAUCCAGGGAUGCCGCUCAACAUCCUGAAAUGCACAGGGAACCCCCACACAUAGAACAGAGAAAUUGCUGAGCCAAAAUGUCAGCAGUGUCACAGCUGACACCCUGAUAUACACACUAUCACACAGUAUCUGCUCUUUCGGGCUCAGGAUCUUUUUCAUUCUAAUCAUCUCAUAGGAAACAGAAAUGUCAUUUAGAGGUAGGUAGAGUCCAAAUCAAAGAAGAACCUGAGUUUUUUUUUUUUUUUUUUUAAUCAGCCUGGUGCCUUUAGAGCUAGGAUUUAGUUUCUAUUCUUUCUGUCUCAUUUUCAAGUGAUUUUUUCUUCAAAUGGCAUCUACUGGGCUCAAGAACUGGAGAUCCCCACAAAGCUGAGAUUCACAUGGGAAUUUUGUACACACCCACACAGGUAUACACUUCCAUUUACAUGCAGACUUCCACCCACAGAUACACACAUCCGGAGACCAAGACAGAACGCAAACUGCCCCAUAAAAGCACGGUUCCCCAAACAGGAGAAACACACCAUUCACUCCAGGGAGGUAUCUAUUUGUUUAAUUCAGCCUCUGAUAGUCAGGCUGUUGCCAAGCCCAGCUCUGAAACUCUUCCCCUCUAGGAAAGAAAGAUGGAUUUUUUCUUUACUCAAGAAUAUAGAUCUAAAAAAAAAAAAACACUUCUGCAUCUCAAAGCAGGCUCUACCUCCUGAGCUACACGUAUUGAUCAGCUUUUUAUUGUCAAUUUUCUUUUAAUUGAAUUGGAGAAAAAUAUAAAUUAUGUUCUUACUGACAGUUUGGAAUCAGUUACACUAAAUCCAAUUCUCUGGGUUCUCAUGAUUAAGGUGUUUAAUUUGGGGGACAACAAAGCAAAAGCAUUGGUCGUGUUUUAAUAUAAUUAGUACAGGAUAUAUCUAAGGGGUUCAAGUAUCACUGUAGCAAGAAGCUCAUUCUGCAGUAAAAGGGGGAUUCUGCCACUAGGAUUGAGUGAGGGUGGUUCAUGGCUGCACCGUUUCAUCAAUGUCUCUUCAAGAGUCCAUGGAAUGUGGAAUGGGAAAGACUGAAAUAGUGCAAGUCUUGGCUAAGCUUCUAUUAAGGGGUGUUAGGAGCUGAUAAAAUAACCUGGUCUUUAUAGACAUCCCACACUGUAGUUCUCUAAGCUACAGAUUCUCAGAUUUUUCUAUUUUAUGAACGAGUAAAAAUAUUUUUUUAAUUUGAGAACCAACAUAAGGUUGCUAUCUUUUUUUUCUUUUGGGUAAGAAGGAACUUUUUUAAACUACCAGUUACACACACACACACACACACACACACACACACACACACACACACACAGAAAUUCCACCAUGAUUGGUCAGAAUAGGUGAGGUUUUGCUGCAAUAACAAACAACUCCCAAAUCUUGGUAACUUCAAACAUCAGAAGUUGUUUUUCUCACUCAUGCUUCAUCUGCAGGGAGGUGUGGGGUGCUCUGUUUCCCAUCAAACUUGCCCUAAGACUAAGGUUAAUGGGGGUUGCAAUACCUCGAGUAUCACCAAGCAGGGAACAGAGGGAGAAGAAUGUUAGAGAGUCUUGUACUAAGAAUUAAAUGCUCCAGGCUAGAAGUCUAACAUUGCACCUCUGCCCCCAGCCUCUUGGCCAGUACUAGCCACAUCCCCUCCCCCACCACAGGGCAAUACAUGAAGACAGGAGAAUUGGAUACAUUACAAAUUUCUACCCCAUGGCAUUUCAUAAAAGAGAAAAAAAUGCCAAUACAAAAAUGUUUUAAUAGAAUAGAAUAUAUACAUUUUUAGAAUAAAGAACAAUCCUCCAAAAAGGACAGCUGGUGGUCUCUCAACAAUGGGCACAUUUCUGUGACAUUUUCUCUGUUUUUCCAUUUUAUCCUUGACCUAUGAACAUUUUAUACAGAUGGUCCAAAGAACACCAUUUGGGGACCACUGCUGUAAUCAGGUGAUGAAAACGGCCCCAAGAACAGAGCACAGUCUCUUUAGCAAAGACCCAGCAGGGCCAGGGUGACCAUGUUCUCACCAUCAAUGUGCAGACAUCCACCUGCAGCAUCCUCACAUCCCAACAUCAAACAGUGGCUCUUUAUAGCUUGAUUCUAAUGCCCUUUGAUCUUCAUAAUCAUUGUAAAGCUCUCUGGCCCCAAGAUCUAACAUCGCCACUCUAGCUACAUCCUGCAACUGUUCACCUCUCCUGCCUCCUCAUCCCUCUAAACUUCUCUUCACAACCUCAUGUUUCCUUCUUGCUUUACCUUCCUGCUCAGCCUGGACCUUACAGUCACCUUCUUCUUGUAAUGUGCUCCUAAACUCUUUCUUCCCUUCCUUCAACCACACCCACCUGGAAAAUCUCCAUACUCCAUUGACGACUUGCCUCGCAACUGCCCAAGGGCUGCUGAAUGAUACUGGAAAGAAUCACAACAGGGAUCUGGUAGUUCCACUAAAUAAUCUCACCAUCCAACUCUAGGGCAGACUUCACUUCUGUUCAGCAAUAUUUUUAAGCAUCACAAAUAAAUUCCAAACCAUAUUUGCUAUAACAAUUGACUGUAAACCUCUUCCAUAUCUCAAAGCCCCCCAAACCCAGCCCUAGGGGUUUCAGAGCCCAGAGUUGAGUUCUCUCAACUCACUUCCAUCUCACCCCUAGAUCACUGUAUCUUGAUCCUCUUCCUCUGCCUUUCCCAUGUUAUAAGGAGAAGCAUCCUUCUCCUUUCCCAAGCUACCUUCUCCACUUGUGCCUCAUUUGAGACCUGCCUUUAUCACCCGUUCCCUUGGAACUCCCAUGACUCACCACCUUCACUUGUCAUUUCACUCAUAAAUAUUUUGCACCGUGUAUGUGCCAGGCGAUUAACAUAUAAUCAUGCUUAAGUCUCCACAUGCUAACAAGAAAAACCUUGAUUAUCCCUGCUAUGCCCUCAAGUCAUUACCCUCCCCGCUCCUUUCCUGUGUUCCCAAACUUUGUUGAUCUUCAUCAAUCCCUCUGAUGCAGAUGGCUCCGAAGUUUGCAUCCUAUUAGGUUGGUGCAAAAGUAAUUGCGGAUUUUGCCAUUAAAAGUAAUGGCAAAAACAGCAAUUAUUUUUGUAGCAGCCUAGUAUCUUUUCUCCUUCUACCAAACUUUGUCCCUGAGACAUCUCAUCACCUAUAACUACCUCCUCCAUGCAGUUGAUUCCCAGAUCUGUAUUAUUCUACUGAAAGUCCAUUCCCCAAUUUUCUCGGCUAGAAUAACAGAAACCCAAUUAGAAUUCAUGCUACCAGUUUCCCACCACCACCACCACCGUCGUCCUGCCAUUGUUAGCAAAACCAUCUCUUGAGUGGAGCUCAAAGAUUUGUAAUUUCCCACUCCCCAGAAAGAUAACUUCAGACUCAGCUUAGAAGUAAAGAUCCUCCAGAUAUGGCCUCAACUACCCUCCAACCCAUGUCCCCAGUGCAUCCCGUUGAUGCCCCCUUCAGUGGAGUUAAAAUGGAGUGAGUGUUUUUCUUUUCACAUACUCCUGGUGUUCUUCCACAAAUACAAUUUUCACCUCUAGAAUAUUUUCAAUGAUUCUCCAUGCUACACACAGAGAAAUCCAAACUCCCCAUCAGGACCCCAGUCUUCCCAAACCCUCUUUGCACUUUUCUGCCUCCAUGCUUUUCCUUGGGUCAUCCUCUUCUCUAAUAUAACCUUGUGUAUUAUUCUAGGUUCUCCAGAGAAAGAGCAGAGAGAUAGAGGUAGAGAUAUACACAUAGAGAGAGACAGAUUGAUUUGUUGUAAGGGAUGGCUCACCUGGUUAUGGAAGCUAAGGAGUCCUGGAGUCUGCAGCCAGCAAGCUGGAGACCCAGGACAGCCAAUGAUAUAGUUCCAACUCGAGUCCACAUGUAAAGUCAGGAGAAGAUUGAUGUCCCAGCUCAAAUAUAAUCAGGUAAAAAGAGCAAAUUCUCUGUGAUUCUACCUUUUUGUUUUGUUCAGGCCUUCAAUGGAUUGGAUGAGGCUCACCCACAUUGGGGAGGACAAUCUGCUUUAUUCAGUCUACCAAUUAAAUGUUAUCCUCAUCCAGAAUACCUCAGAGACACACCCAGAAUAAUGUGUAGCCAAAUAUCUGGGCACCCCACAACCCAGUCAAAUUGAUACAUAACACUAACCAUCAUGUCUUGCUUCUACUCUCUCGCCAUUUCUGCAUGGCCAAAUCUUUCCCUUAUUUCAAGGCUUAGUUCAAAUGUUACCUCUUAACUAAGCCUUCCCUGCUAACCCCAAAUAUUAAUAGAAUUGGUUUCUCCCUUCUCUGAUGUCUCAAAAUAUAUUGUGUUUCUCUUUUAUUGUAUUUAUUACAAACUCCCUUACAAAUCAAGACAGUGAUUCCCAGACAAAUUAUCACAAGAGUAUAAAAGAAGUCUUCUUUGAGUGUGAAAUAUCUCAUGGAAUAUAGCACAUGGCCUCUUCAUGAAGAAACUACUGGGAGAGAAGAAGACAAGCUGGAAGAGGCCAGGGAAAGGGGGAUCAACCACCAACAUGAAUGACACAGUGACUACCUGGACCAGGAAGUUCAUGACCAAUCGACCGUUCCAGAGGAAACAAAUGGUCACCAAUGUCCUUCACCCCGGAAAGGCAACAAAAUGUACAAGACCACAAUGGAUGUCAUCUUCAUAUUAAUAGUUGGACUCAGAACCCAUUUUGGUGGUGGUUAAACAAUCGUCACCCACAUUGGAGCGCAGUGGUACGAUCUCAGCUCACCAAAUCUCUGCCUCCCAGGCUUAAGCAAUUCUCCUGCCUCAGCCUCCCCCGCAGCUAGGAUUACAGGCACGCACCACUACUGCCUGGCUAAUUUUUAUGUUUUUAGUAGAGAUGGGGUUUCACCUUGUUGGCCAGGCUGGUCUUGAACUCCUGACCUCAAAUGAUCCACCCGCCUUGGCCUCCCAAAGUGCUAAGAUUACAGGCAUGGGUCACUGUGCCCAGCCUUUUCUGUAUUAAAUUUUUUAAAACACAACAUUUAAAAUAAUCAAGUCAUUCUUUUUGAAUCUACUUUGUAUUAUAGGUAUCCAAAUACUCACCUAUUCUCUCUCACAUGAUGACAAACUGGUUGAAAUGUCAUUUCAUUUUGUGGCUCCAGCCCCAGGGAUUCUGAGUCUGAUUCUAAAGGGCCUGCAUGCAGAGCAAGCAAGCCGCCUGGAUGAUUCUCUUACAGGUGUUUUAAGGGCAUCAGUUUGAGACACCCUGAUGCAAAAGAACGAACCCUCAAGGAAGUUGGCUGUACAUGUAUUUUCCUUCCUAGCACAGGAAAAGACAGAAAGAUUAUCCAAUCAGUACCACUCCUAGCACCUGAUUAUAUAUGUAUGAGGAAUUCAGAAAUGGUUUGAUCAAGGUUGAAGACCUAAAAAGUAGCUUUUCUCUCGGACACCAAGUCCCCAUCUCAUGCGUGGUUGAGUUAGUAGAAUCUGAGGAUGAUGCUUCUUCCUCCAGGAUUGGUAUCCUAUGGUUUUUGUUGUUCAGUAAAUGAAGUACCUCCAUCCCCCAACAUCCCCAAGCUCAAUUCCAGUUUCCUCACAUACACUUUUUUUUUUAUUUUUUUUUGAGACAGAGUCUCGCUCUGUCACCCAGGCUGGAAUACUGUGCAGUGGUGCAACCUCAGCUCACUGCAACCUCCACCUCCCAGGUUCAAGUGAUUCUCCUGCCUCGGGCUCCUGAGUAGCUGGCAUUACAGGCAUGCACCAUCACGCCUGGCUAAUUUUUGUAUUUUUAGUAGAGAUGAGGUUUCAUCAUGUCGUCCAGGCUUGUCUCAAACUCUUGGCCUCAAGUGAUCCACCUACCUCAGCCUCCCAAGUGCUAAGAUUACAGGUGUGAGCCACCGUGCCCAGCCUCCUCACUUACACUUUUACAGAAGAUCUGAUCAUACCCACUCCGCAGAAGUCAGAAUGGCCCCCACAUGGUGUUAAACGGGAGUGAAAACUUGAGUUCAAUCAACUGAGGGUGACACAGAAACAUUUCCCCCAAAAUGCUUUUGGCAGCUCUGCUGAUCCAUAACCUGGCUCCAUUUCAGGGCAAGACCUCCACUUAAGCUGCACUGGCUUCCACUAGAGUAAAUCACAUUAACUCAUGGCAAACACAACUGAAGGGCAAAAAGAUUCUUUUUAAAAGGAUUUUAGUCUCUCACUUACCAACACACCCUGGCCUCCCUAGAGCCGGACUCCAUUCAGCACCUGUUCCACUGAGCACCCACUGAAAGCUCAGCUCAUGAGCUGAGAUGACCCAGACAUCAAGGAGUUUACAAUCCAGGGGAAGAACAGACCUGAAUACAAGUGAUGACAAUACAAGACGGAGUCAAAGAGCCCAACUUGAAGUAUCAGCAGAAUAGCACCAAAGACUAGUUCCCAACCCAGCUCCCAGCGCCAGAGCCAGAGCCAGGCUGGCUGCAUGAGAUCAGCUGGGAGCUUUUGCAAACCUAGGUCCUAGCUAAGCCCCUAAUCAUCAGACUGGCAGUCACUGGGAGUGAGCUCCAGGAACUCUUUUAUUUAAUAAGCACCCACACACACAUGAUUCUGAUGUUCCUAAGGGUUGUAGAAACAUGGAACUAUAGAAAACACUUAAAAAAAAAAGGCACUAAAAGAAACCUAUAAAUAUUCACUACAAUCCCAGGCAUCAUGAGGACACUCCACGUGCACUAUUUACAAUACUUAGAAUAUCCUGCAAGGGAAGCAUUCAUUCAUGACGAUGGGCUUUAUUGGGAUCAGAGCCAGCCCUGGGAAUAUUUGAACCCGCGCUGAAAGUCACCCCUUCCUCCCCACAGGAGGGGGCUAACAUUAAGGAGCAGGGACCAGAUGGGAAAUGGAGUGUCCUUUUAUUAUGAGACCACAGUGAGAGGCUUUUUUUUUUUUUCCAGAGUCUUGUUCUUGCCACCCAGGCUGGCGUCCAGUGGUGCAAUCUCAGCUCACUGCAACUUCUGCCUCCCGGGUUCAAGUGAUUCUCCUGCCUCAGCCUCCCGAAUAGCUGGGACUAUAGGCACCCGCCACCACACCUGACUAAUUUUCGUAUUUUUAAUAGAGACAGGGUUUCACCAUGUUGGUCAGGAUGGUCUUGAUCUCUUGACCUCAUGAUCCGCCUACCUUGGCCUCCCAAAGUGCUGGGAUUACAGAUGUGAGCCACCACGCCUAGCCUCAGACUUUCAAGUAAAGCCACAAUGGACCACAGAGCUUAGACAUCAGGGCUAACAUGGAAUCUCUGUCAUUAAAUCUUGAGAUCUUACUAUCUUUGGUCAAAGAAAAAAAUAAUCACAAAUGACAUUUUGAGGACAAGACAUCUGAAUGUAAACUUGAUCUUAGAGGAUAUUAAGGAAUUACUGGUAAUUUGAUUAGGUAUGACAAUGAUCAUAUAAAAAGUGCCCUCAUGUUUUUAGAGGGAAAGUAAAUUACGUAGGGAUGAAUAUCAGGAUGCAAUUACAUAACUACUGUCAACUAUUUUGUAAAUACUUCAGAAAAACAAAUGAAGUAAAUAUUGCAAAUGUUAAUAGUUUUUAAAUCUAUGUGAUGGGUAUAUGAUAGCUCAUUAAACUGGUGUCUCUAC